UACGGAAGGUAGCAGUGGGGAAUAUUGCACAAUGGGCGCAAGCCUGAUGCAGCCAUGCCGCGUGUAUGAAAAAGGCCUUCGGGUUGUAAAGUACUUUCAGUCGUGAGGAAGGUGUUAAGGUUAAUAACCUUAGCAAUUGACGUUAGCGACAGAAGAAGCACCGGCUAACUCCGUGCCAGCAGCCGCGGUAAUACGGAGGGUGCGAGCGUUAAUCGGAAUUACUGGGCGUAAAGGGCACGCAGGCGGUUAAUUAAGUUGGAUGUGAAAUCCCCGGGCUUAACCUGGGAAUGGCAUUCAAGACUGGUUAGCUAGAGUCUUGUAGAGGGGGGUUAGAAUUCCAUGUGUAGCGGUGAAAUGCGUAGAGAUGUGGAGGAUACCGGUGGCGAAGGCGGCCCCUGGACAAAGACUGACGCUCAUGUGCGAAAGCGUGGGGAGCAAACAGGGAUUAGAUACC
rnacentral:rRNA from 1 species